rnacentral:rRNA from 1 species
GACGAACGCUGGCGGCGUGCUUAACACAUGCAAGUCGAACGGAGAAUUUUAUUUCGGUGAAAUUCUUAGUGGCGAACGGGUGAGUAACGCGUAGACAACCUACCUCUCAGAUGGGGACAACAUCGCGAAAGCGGUGCUAAUACCGAAUGAUGUAACUUUUCUGCAUGGAAGAGUUACCAAAGGCGGCCUCUAUUUAUAAGCUGUCACUGAGAGAUGGGUCUGCGUCUGAUUAGCUAGUUGGCGGGGUAAUGGCCACCAAGGCGACGAUCAGUAGCCGGUCUGAGAGGAUGAACGGCCACAUUGGGACUGAGACACGGCCCAAACUCCUACGGGAGGCAGCAGUGGGGAAUCUUCCGCAAUGGACGAAAGUCUGACGGAGCAACGCCGCGUGAGUGAAGAAGGUUUUCGGAUCGUAAAGCUCUGUUGUUUGAGACGAAUGUGCAAUUUUUGAAUAAGGAAUUGUAAUGACGGUAUUAAACGAGAAAGCCACGGCUAACUACGUGCCAGCCGCCGCAGUAAUAC